rnacentral:rRNA from 1 species
CCCUUAGAUGUUCUGGGCCGCACGCGCGCUACACUGACGAAGUCAGCGAGCAUGUCCUACGCCGACAGGUGCGGGGAAUCUUGUCAAACUUCGUCGUGAUGGGGAUUGAUUAUUGAAAUUCUUGAUCAUCAACGAGGAAUUCCUAGUAAGCGCAAGUCAGCAGCUUGCGUCGAUUACGUCCCUGCCCUUUGUACACACCGCCCGUCGCUCCUACCGAUUGGGUGUGCUGGUGAAAUGUUCGGAUCGGCCGUUUGUCGCGGUUUCCGCGUCAUGUGGCUGAGAAGUUCAUUAAACCCUCCCACCUAGAGGAAGGAGAAGUCGUAACA